GCCUUGGUGGUGGAACGGUAUACACGCAAGACUCAAAAUUUUGUACUACAAGGUAUGGAGGUUCGAAUCCUCUCCAAGGCA
rnacentral:tRNA from 1 species